UUAUACCUCUAACAGGCCUUACUCCUUUCAGUUGUCACUAACCAGGAGCCGCUGGAACUCGACAGCAUCACAGUUUACCCUCAAAUAUACGAGGAACGACAGGGCGGCUCUGGAAAACUACUUUUCAUACACCAUGGAUAUUCGCUUCAAUUGAUGAAAGCUUCCGUACUAGCUGAUACAGUCUCACUGCAAGAUGUAACAGAAAGCGGCAUCGUCGAGAAAAACGUUAAUGGAAGAUACUACGAAAGAAACCUUUAUCAUGACGCUGCAAAACAGGCGUCAUUGCUCAUUAAACCUCAAGCAGGUGGACAUUACCAAGUAGUUGGUAUUCUAAACGCCACACAUGAAAUUAGGCCUUUGGAAACCAUAGAACGGUCGUCCGAAGGACAUCCGGCACAUAAAAUAUCCAGAAUUUUAAUUGAGAAAGACCAUCAUGACGUCGUUGCGACAGCACGCAGCACUGGGCUCAGACGAGGAAGUACCCUUGAGACGAAGCCCAGAAGACCGUUACCUGACAAUUUCACGAUAGAGCUUUCCUUUCUCAGUGACUUUACCCAUAGCCAGCUAUAUAGACACAAAGAGCAAGAACAUAUUGAAUAUGUAACAGUGCUCAUGCUCGCGGUCAGCCUUCGUCUUCAAAUGCUUACUCCGCCAGGCUUUAUCUCCUUGACGAAAAUAGUACGUACACUUAUGAAGGUUCGAGAAACGUUUCUAAAGAUGCGGGAUCACGAGAGGCUCAGUGUAGAGGGAACGCUGGAUAAAUUAUCGGAGUACGCCAAGACAGACAAUAUAAUGAAGAAGGCCGACGCUGUCUUCAUGGCUACCCAGAGACCAAUGGUCCAUAUAGACAGCUCCGGGAAAGAAGCUGGCAAUGCUAUUGGAAUGGCGCCACGGGGAGGAAUUUGCACCAAGGACAAGGUUGCCAUUGGAAAAGACAAACCAGGCACUUAUUCUGGAAUAAGCACAAUAGUUCACGAAUUGGGACACUUAUUAGGCUUGCCCCAUGAUGGCGAUAAAGGCGCAGAAGCUUGCCUCGGAAACCACGGUUACAUUAUGAGUCCAGUUCAUGGUGGCAAGAGGGAUAAUGAGUGGUCACAAUGCAGCAAAAACUUAGUCAAAGAAGUUCUGCGGUCGCGAAAAUACUGGUGCUUAAACGAAAAUAAAAACAAACACCUUUCUCCACUUAAGCUCAAGCUGAAACCUGGAAUGGUCAUCAAUGGAGAAGAAUACUGCACCAAGUCUUUCCCAAACUACAAUGCCAAGUUUGAUGAGUCGCUUCCGACUGACAACUGCUCGUUUCGCUGCAAGUUAGAGACGUCGGGUGCAAAAACAAAAGAAGCAACCAUAUUUGCUCCGGAGGGAACGCCAUGCCAACCGGGAAAGCACGAAAAGAAGUGCAGAUACGGACUUUGUAUAUGACAUGCACAAUACCCUAACGAGGUAAAGAAUUCGAGCAACGAAAACCGUCUCAGACACAAAAAAUUACGAUAUUUGUUGUUAAAUAUAUAAACAUCAGGCCGCAACUUUUGACAACAACUCUUUGCAUACGCUCCUGUAUGCUGCCAUUUUUCUCUGCAUAUUAGUCAUUAGGAGUCAUGGAGCACCCAUAGAGAGCAGCGUCACAGUUUAUCCUCACGUGUUUGAAGAUCGAGGAGACGACUUUGAAAAGCUCCUCGUCAUCCACGAAGGAUAUUCUCUCAAAUUAAGCAAAGGGUCGGUGCUUGCUGAGAGCGUUCUACUGCACGAUUUAACUGAAAAUGGAGUCGUCGAGACCUACAUCGAUGGUAGGCAACACGAGAGAGAUUUGUAUCAAGAUUCCGAAAGCAUGGCUUCGUUGAUAAUCACAUCACAAGUGGGAGGACAUUACCACAUAAACGCAAUCUCCACAUCACAAGAGUCCCUACGCCAGCGACUGGAAAGCUGCCGAGAAAUUUCACCGUAGAGUUGGUUUUCUGCAGCGACUACAAGCACACUAUAGGUUUCCAGAGUGCGACAGAACGAAUAUAUACAGGUGUUUGCACAAGCGAUCACCCUGCGUUUGCAACAGCUUAGCUCUCCCGGCACCAUAUCGGUAACAUCUAUUGUGGGAUCCUAUAUCGCGAAAGAGUAUUACGUGCACCAGCGGAACAACGACGCCAUCUAUGGCACAGAAACGCUGAAGAAGCUAGCGCUCGCCUCGAAACGCAACAACGCAAUGGAGAAGGCAGACGCAAUCUUCUUGGCCACCGGGCGAGCUGUUGUUCAGUUGAACGGCAAGAAGCUAACUACUCACCACGUAGGGCUGGCUUUCUUGGGGCAAAUGUGCGCAUUCUUCAAGACCUCGCUGGGAGUGGACGAACCACGGACGUAUUCGGGGUUGCACACUGCAUCACACGAAUUAUCGC
rnacentral:misc_RNA from 1 species